CAGAGAAGUAGUACUACUACUAUCCACCACUCACCUUCUCGCCUUCCCGUCCCCCGCCUCUCUUUCUGUUUCUUCCUUGCCUGCCCACUUCGUCGUUAUCAUCGUAUUCCACGCGCGCUCUCUUGCUCGCUCUUCAGUUUACUUUGCUACUGUUGUCCUUCUCUCUCCCACCGCAUCUGUCACGCCUGCGUGCGCGCGUCUGCUCGCGGGGCGUUCCAGUUGCGGGCGUGCUGUGUGUGUGUGUGUGUGUGUGUGUGUGUGUGCCUCUUCCACUCCACAUCUGCUUUUCGACCACCUCUCCUGCUCCUUCAGCGUGUCCUCGUCCUGCCCUGCGUAGCGUUACCAAAUCUUGCCCUUGCCCCCCCCCCCCCCUCCCCGUUCUAGCGCUCUUGCGGUACGCAAGCACGCGUACCGCAUCACCCACCCACCCCCUUCUCUUUCUCGCGCGCGUGCAGACGCACACGCACACGCACACGCACACGCACACACACAGUCAGUCACCCAUACGUGCGUGCACACAGCUGCACCGCCUUCCUCUCUCUCUCUCUUCGCGUUCCUACAUCCAUGCAGAAGCUUCGCGCCGACCUGACGAAGCACUUCGACUCGGAGAAUACCAACAUGACGGCGUACCGCGACUAUGACUUUGAGCGUCGCGUGAACGAUAUGCGGCGCCUGCAGCACGCCGUCGACCACUUCGACCACGCGGUAAGGCAGGGCAUGAUGGCAAUGAAGGAAAUCGCGAGCGCGUACGAGGCUGUCGGGCAGGCCUUCACGGAGCUGACCCUCACCAACAACAACCCCGUGCCCGGCCCAGGGGAGGCCGAAGAGCCGAACCCCUAUCCGACUGAAGCGGAUGUGCAGUACAUGUCGCAGCCAAACGCCGGCGCCGCGACGGCGGACUACGCCGCCUCCGUCGCGAGCACACGCAUGCCGGACGAAGCCAACUCGCAGGUGCGCCGCCUGGCAAAGACCUUCGCUGAGGAGGCGCGCCGCAUCAACGAGGGCGCGCCGUACCAGUCGUACAACGCCGGCAUUCACCGCGACGUCCAUAACCGCCUCCUCCCUGUUCUGGAGCACCUUAAGAGCAUCAACGAGUACCGCCACAAGCGCAUCGAGGCACUGGAGCGCUACAACAAGUACAAGGCCGAAGUAGAGAAGGUUGAGAAGCACUACACGAAGAAAGGAAAGCCGUUCUGCGACAGCAAGGACCACAAGAAAUACACCGAGAAGCGCGACGAGGCGUGGAAGGAGUACAUCAAGCGACGCGACAAGUUCAACAAAACCUUCGGUAUGCUGAUGGAGGUGAACGACCACGCCGCCGCGCAGAUCAUCCACCGCUACCUCGUGCUGAAUCACGAGUAUCUGCAGCAGCUCGUGGCCUCGAUGGACCGCGUGCUGCCAGCGAUGGCGGAGGUGUAUCCGCUCAACAACGAGUACAACAGCCUCCAGAACACGCUGAUCCUCGAGGCGGUCGCGAACGCAAAAAUGCCGUUCGCCGACCACUCCAAGACGCGUUCGAAGCAGGCCGAUCAUGCCAAGCGCGAUGGCGCCGGGGACGAGACACACGAGGAUGCUCAGGAGGCUAUGGACGCCCAUUACGAGGCCCAGCAGAGUACUCUCACUUCCAUGAGCUCGGACGGUGGAAGCAACAUCGCCUCCGGCUCACGGCUGGAGGAUUCGGUCAGCUACGACGCGCACGCGAAGCCAUCGACGGCAUUAGAGUCCAUGGAGCCGCCGCACGACCCGGUGCAGGGCCGCGCCCAACAUGCCGGGAGAACGAGGGUAGAUCGCGGCCUCACCAUGUCGGAGCCGCAGCAUAUUUAGACCCAAGGCAGAUACCUCGACAAUGGCGAAGCGCAGCCGCUCGGGGACGGUAGAGGUGCGGACAAAGGAAGGCUGCACCUACGUGGAGGGCGCGUGCGUGCGGGAGACCUUGAGUCGGCCGACAGAUUCGUUCCCUUUUCCCUCAGCCAUGCGCGCUCACCGACACCCCGCGCUCCUGCGUCGCUGCUGCGCCGCCCAACUGGGCCCAUCGUGGUAGCCGUCUCCUUCUCUCUCCCCUCCCCCUUUUCCGUUGUUCGUCGAGCCGUUCGAGUAGCAGUGCACACGCACUCAGCCCGGACUCACAUGCUUCCGCAGCAGCCACUCCCGUUCACGCGUCGGCGCGCGCCCUUUCCAUAACGUUCUGCUGUCUUCGCUUACUCAUCCACGUCUGCCCUCCGCUCACGCCCCCCUAACCCCUCCCCCCUCGCACACCCACGCACGCCCCACGCACGUGAAAAGACGCACAUGCAUAUACAGGCGUGGCACAUUUUCGCUCGUUGCGUUUUCGCAGGCUCGUGUGGAUCUCUGCCCUUCACUCUCUUGUCCUGCGGCGGUGUCUUGUACGCUUUCUCUUUCUUUUCCCUCCCUCCUUCCUUCUUCUUUUAUGCGUCACCCCGAUUUCCUCUUCAUGCUUCUCUCGUUGGCUGCUUCGCUGGUUCCGCCGCCCCCCUCUCCCCUCCCCCUCUUGUUGCUUUCCUAUUUUGCCUCACGCGCACGUGUGUGUUUCCCUCUUCUUCGUCUGUCGCUCGCUCUGUCUCGCCCCCACUCCCGCUCGCCCUGCAUGUGUCAUGCACGACGAGGGCAUCAUUCGCAUCAGGGGUGCGAAGAGAGGGAGAGACAGGGAUGGCAGUGCGCCUCGUAUCGCUGGUGUGCUGUCGCGCUUUCUUGGGAUUCGAUGCGGCAUGGUUGCUUGUCUUUGUGUAGGUUCGAUUCGAGUGCUUGUCCCUCCGCCUACUCCGUAAUGUAAGUUCUAAUCAUAGUAAGGGUGCUGACUGAACGCACAGUGAGGAGCAAGAU
rnacentral:misc_RNA from 1 species